UACGUAGGGCGCAAGCGUUGUCCGGAUUUAUUGGGCGUAAAGAGCUCGUAGGCGGUCUGUCACGUCGGCUGUGAAAACCCGGGGCUCAACCCCGGGCCUGCAGUCGAUACGGGCAGACUAGAGUGCGGUAGGGGAGACUGGAAUUCCUGGUGUAGCGGUGAAAAUGCGCAGAUAUCAGGAGGAACACCGGUGGCGAAGGCGGGUCUCUGGGCCGUAACUGACGCUGAGGAGCGAAAAGCGUGGGGGAGCGAAACAGG
rnacentral:rRNA from 1 species